rnacentral:rRNA from 1 species
UACAGAGGUCUCAAGCGUUGUUCGGAUUCAUUGGGCGUAAAGGGUGCGUAGGCGGCGCGGUAAGUCGGGUGUGAAAUCUCGGAGCUUAACUCCGAAACUGCAUUUGAUACUGCGGUGCUUGAGGACUGGAGAGGAGACUGGAAUUUAUGGUGUAGCAGUGAAAUGCGUAGAUAUCAUAAGGAAGACCAGUGGCGAAGGCGGGUCUCUGGACAGUUCCUGACGCUGAGGCACGAAGGUCAGGGGGAGCAAACGGG